rnacentral:lncRNA from 1 species
AUGUCAUUUGUACACUCAACUAAACCAGAAGAUUGAGGGUGGUAAGUGCAGUGAAAGUGCUAUAAAACCAGCCAAACAGCACAGACUUGUCAAGUACCUGGCCAGUAAAAUGGGUUUCUCAGUCAUGAUGAAGUUCAAGAGGAGUUUUCAAAAGGACCAUGACCACAGAAGAGGCAAUGGCCUAUCUGUAAGGGAAGGCUUCAGUCCAGUGUGAAAACAUACAUAUGACUGAAACAUAUUUAUAUCCACAAGACAGAGGAAGUUCUAUGAAAUCCUUUGCCCCUUGAAUGAGCAAGGAGUUUAAACUCCUAAUAGGGAGUGUAAAGUGUUUGGGAGUACAAUGAACAGGCUUCUCUGGGUUGUACAUUGGACAAAUGAGACAAGUAAGAUGGGCAGUUUUUGUGGUCCUCUUGAUGUUUCCCUAUCAAAAUUGAUUCAUGGCUGUUACCAUUUUGUCAGUAGAUCAAUGAUUCAUUGCAUAUACAGUGGUUACCCUGCAUUUUGGAGUUUUCAUUAAGACUAAGAUGUCAUUUGGUUUGAAUUGGGGCUUUACCUUUUUAUUAAACCAAAAAUUGUUGAAUUUCCAAUUUCAUUUUAAUUUUUUGAGGCCAGUUUUGGGGGUUCUGUAGCCAGAUUUUCUAAAUUAUAAUUUUGGGAUAUCCCUCUGUACAUGACAGAGAUUUUGCUGCUAUUGGUUCUUUUAAGUGCAACAUGCCUUGCAGAAAUGUCAACAAGAUGAUUUUCCUUAGCUUCUAUAGAGUCAAAUUUAGAAUGCCCCAGAAUUCUAGUAAUAGCUAAAGUGGUGGGUAAAAGUGUCCCAUCCAACAGUUCUUGAACAUCUAAAAUUUUAUUUUUGCUGAAAGUGAGGAGGUCACAUUGCUUCCACAAUAUUCCAAAGUCAUGAGCUACUCUGAAAGCAUAUCUAUCAGUAUACAUAUUGGCAAUUUUGCCCUUGGCUCAAGUACAAGCCUGUGUAAGAGCAUAUAAUUGAGCCUUGUGGGCCAAAGUAGCCAUAGGUAAAGGUGCUGCCUCAGUAGUACCAAAAGCAUUUGCAGUAGCAUACCCUGCACAGUAUUUACCAUUGGCACCCUUUAAAUGAGAACCAACAGUAGUACAAAAAUGAUUAAAGGGGUUCCCAAAGCAAAUUUCUUAGUGGUUUUAACCAAAAAAGCAGUGGCACUAAUGGCUCUAAAGCAAGGGGUUAUCCCUGUGACACAAGGUACAGUUGCUGGCUUAAUAUUUUGUGGGUCAAUGGGGGGGGGGGUCCCAUAUUUUUGAAUAAGUAUCCCAAGGGCAUUCCUUUCCUUUUUGGAUACAAAAAGGAAAGAACAAAAAAAGAAUCUGAUAAUUGGGAUGCUUGUGGGUAGGUAGGUUCAUCAAACUCUUUAAGGUCUUAAAGUCUAUGUAGUCUGGUUCUUCCAAUAAGAUUGGUUCAGGGUAGUUUUUUUUUAAUUAAAAUAUACAGAAUUUUUUCUUGACCAUAAGAGAGAAAUUUGGAUUCCAGUUUUGGCAAUAACCAAUGAGCCGAAAAAAGCCUCACAGUAGCACUUAGUUUUGGUUUUGGGGAAACUUGGGAUACUGCAGAGUCUAUCUGGAUUUCAAUGUGGUCUUUGUUCUUAUAUCAGAUGCCCUAAAUAUCAAAUAUGGAUUUGGGCAAAGUGUGUUUUUUUUUUUUCUUUUUUCUUGGCAACCUUAUAUCCCUUUAAAACGAAAAGCUGUAGCGAGUGGAUGCUGUCUUCCUGUGAGAAAGUGAGCAAAGAAGCAAAUUAUCCACAUAUUGCAACAAAGUAGAACCCCUAGGGAACUUUGUAUCAUCCAGAUCAACUUUCAGGAUUUGUGAGAAAUAAGGCCUGGCAGUAAAAUUCCAAGGCAUUACUGUCCAGGUGAAUUGUUUUUCUUUGCAAGUGAAGGCCAAAAGGUAUUGGCUGGCUUCAUCAGCUGGAAUAGUAAAGAAUGUACUGCACAAAUUUAUUACAGUAAAUAAUUUGCUUCUAGUGGAAAUGAAUUUUAGUAAUGUUGAGGGUUAGGAAUAAUAUAGUAUCGAGGGAUAAUGGAAUAACCAUGUUAAUUGUGUGGAGGUCCUAGACAGACCUCCACCCUUGGCCCUUAGGUUUUCUCACAGAUAAAUGGCAGUGCUGUGGGGACUAGUACAAGGGGUAGUGAGGCCUCAUGCCUUGUAAUACUCUAUUAUGGGCUUUAUGCUUUGAAAGGCUUCUUUACUCAUAGGGCAUUGAUUAAUUCUGGGGAGUUGUUUUGAGGGAUCUACGUGAAUGUUGAUGGGAAGUAUGCUCUGAAUUUUGUUAUUAUUAGUUGAAGAUUUUGCCCAUAAGGAGGGUGGAAGCUGAUAGAAUAGGGACAAAUGAUCAACGUUUCUCAAGUCCUCUCUAGUACCGUCAGAGAUAGAGCAAAUACAAGAUGUCAAAGGCUAAUUUAAUUCAUCUGUUGGCUGCUUUGAUGACUCUUGUCAAAUUCAGAAAUUAUUUCCCCCUUUGGGCAUGAUACUUAUAUAAUAAGAUUCAGCCUAAUAAAUGGAUAGGAGCAAGGAACCAAGGAGAAAAGGGUGUGGAUCUUUCAAAGUGUCUAAACAAAGGUCGAGAGACAGGGAUUUUUUUGAGGGUCCCUGGAGAUCCCCGCUAAUUGAACUUCCUUAGUCCUCCAAGGCAAGGACUGCUUUACAGGAGUGGAGCUGAGCACCAAGAGUCAUGGCUCCAGUGUCUCUGGGACUGAGUAGGUAUUUCUCAAGCUGAUGAAGAAGGAGUGGGAAGAGUCCUUGUGGUUUCUUGGAGCCAUGCCAUUGAAUAUUGGGAAGGCCUUAGAAAGGCUGAUUAAAAGAACUGAAGAUGCCUGAAGCACUCAAAUUUAUAACAAUCUCUUUUCAACGUCCUGGUACUUGGCAAUAAUAGCAGAAAGGGAGGCUUUUGGUUUCAUUUAGGAGCCUUCAUUUGCUGGUGUCGAUGGUUAAAAAUGGUAGCGAUCUUCCUUUAGAGUGACUCUAGUGUGAGAGAGCUGCAUUUUCAGGAUUAACUAAAUCUGUACUAGAGAUAAACUCCGAUUUCAGCCCUGUUCUUCUCACUAGAAAGGGAAGAUUCUGAUUCAGCUCAUUAAUAAAUGGAAUUAAAAACUACUUGGAUGGUGAAAAGAAGACCAGACUAUUUUUUAAAUAAUUGGAACUCAACUAUGAUAGUCAUGAACAGGUUUAUCAGAUUUUUGUGUGCAAGCCUGAGUUUUGUUCCAUUCAAUAGGCUUUGGAAAAGUCCUAGGAAUUGCCUAAUGACAUUGCCUAGCAAUUGCCUGAGUCUGAGUUUAUACUAAGUUAGUGGGCUGGUCUCCUGGUUGUAAUCCUAGAGACGUUUCAGGUUUUCCCCAGUUUGCAGUUUUCAUCUAUGCUAGGCCUGGCCUUCACCAACUAGCUAAGUCAGAAAAACUGGGUUGAUAAGUUUGAAUGAUUGUAUUAAAUUCCUCAGCCAAACUAUGAGGAUCUUUGGUUACUUUUAGAAAACUGUUGACUAUGGCUCACAGUUUGGCAUUAGUCCAAGGAAUAUAAGAACUUAAGCAUUUAGAAAUUCCUAUUGUGGUCAGUGGAAACAAACCCAAGUAGUAUCCAUGAGGAUUUGGGUUUGAUCCCUGGUCUUGCUCAGUUAAGGAUCUGGUGUUGCCAUGAGCCACACUGUAGGGCACAGAUGAGCUCUGAUCCCAUGUUACUGUGGCUGUGGUGUAGGCCAUCAUCUGUAGUUCUGGAUUUGACCCCUAGCCUGGAAAAUUCCAUAUGUCAGGGAUGUGGCCCUAA